GAACGGGUGAGUAACACGUGGGUAACCUGCCUGUAAGACUGGGAUAACUCCGGGAAACCGGGGCUAAUACCGGAUGGUUGUUUGAACCGCAUGGUUCAGACAUAAAGGUGGCUUCGGCUACCACUUACAGAUGGACCCGCGGCGCAUUAGCUAGUUGGUGAGGUAACGGCUCACCAAGGCGACGAUGCGUAGCCGACCUGAGAGGGUGAUCGGCCACACUGGGACUGAGACACGGCCCAGACUCCUACGGGAGGCAGCAGUAGGGAAUCUUCCGCAAUGGACGAAAGUCUGACGGAGCAACGCCGCGUGAGUGAUGAAGGUUUCGGAUCGUAAAGCUCUGUUGUUAGGGAAGAACAAGUGCCGUUCAAAUAGGGCGGCACCUUGACGGUACCUAACCAGAAAGCCACGGCUAACUACGUGCCAGCAGCCGCGGUAAUACGUAGGUGGCAAGCGUUGUCCGGAAUUAUUGGGCGUAAAGGGCUCGCAGGCGGUUUCUUAAGUCUGAUGUGAAAGCCCCCGGCUCAACCGGGGAGGGUCAUUGGAAACUGGGGAACUUGAGUGCAGAAGAGGAGAGUGGAAUUCCACGUGUAGCGGUGAAAUGCGUAGAGAUGUGGAGGAACACCAGUGGCGAAGGCGACUCUCUGGUCUGUAACUGACGCUGAGGAGCGAAAGCGUGGGGAGCGAACAGGAUUAGAUACCCUGGUAGUCCACGCCGUAAACGAUGAGUGCUAAGUGUUAGGGGGUUUCCGCCCCUUAGUGCUGCAGCUAACGCAUUAAGCACUCCGCCUGGGGAGUACGGUCGCAAGACUGAAACUCAAAGGAAUUGACGGGGGCCCGCACAAGCGGUGGAGCAUGUGGUUUAAUUCGAAGCAACGCGAAGAACCUUACCAGGUCUUGACAUCCUCUGACAAUCCUAGAGAUAGGACGUCCCUUCGGGGCAGAGUGACAGGUGGUGCAUGGUUGUCGUCAGCUCGUGUCGUGAGAUGUUGGGUUAAGUCCCGCAACGAGCGCAACCCUUGAUCUUAGUUGCCAGCAUUCA
rnacentral:rRNA from 1 species